rnacentral:rRNA from 1 species
CGUAAAUAUUUUGCAAACUGAGCUGAAAGCCAUGAUCAGAGUCACGCCGCGUGAGUGAUGCAGAUCUACGAUUCGUACUACUCUGUGUUACGGAGAACAACAUUUGUCAGUAUUGAUCUAGUCUCGACGGGUGCCUAAGCCUAGAUAGUCUACGGGCGAUCUAAAGUGACGAGCAGCCGCGGGUAAUGACUGUAUGGUGGGCAAGCGUUAUCUGGAACUAAUUGGGCGUAAAGCUGCGGCGGGGUCGGUUUCUUAAUUCUGAUGUGACAGCCCACGGUUCAUCCCGCGGAGGGUCAUUGGAAUAUGGGAAAAUUGAGUGCAGAAGAGGAGAGGGGAAUUCCAUCUGUAGCGGUGAAAUGUGCAGAGAUAUGGAGGAACACCAGUGUGGAAAGCGGCUCUCUGGUCUGUAUCUGACGUUGAUGUGCGAAAGAGUGCAGAUCAAACAGGAUUAGAUACCCUGGUAGUCCACUCUGUAAACGAUGAGUGGUAAGUGUUAGGGGGUCUCUGCCCUUUAGUGCUGCAGAUACCGCAUUAAUCCCUCCGCCUGGCGAGUACGACCGCAAGGUUGAAACUCAAAGGAAUUGACGGGGCCCCCCCCCACCGGUGGAGCAUGUGGUUUAAUUAGAAGCAACGCGAAGAACCUUACCAAAUCUUGACAUCCUUUGUCCGCUGUAGAGAUAGAGUUUUCCCCUUCGGGGGACAAAGUGACAGGUGGUGCAUGGUUGUUGUCAGCUCGUGUCGUGAGAUGUUGGGUUAAGUCCCGCAACGAGCGCAACCCUUAAGCUUAGUUGCCAUCAUUAAGUUGGGCACUUUAGGUUGACUGCCGGUGACAAACCGGAGGAAGGUGGGGAUGACGUCAAAUCAUCAUUCCCCUUAUGAUUUGGGCUACACACGUGCUACAAUGGAUAAUACAAAGGGCAGCGAAUCCGCGAGGCCAAGCAAAUCCCAUAAAAUUAUUAUCAGUUCGGAUUGUAGUCUGCAACUCGACUACAUGAAGCUGGAAUCGCUAGUAAUCGUAGAUCAGCAUGCUACGGUGAAUACGUUCCCGGGUCUUGUACACACCGCCCGUCACACCACGAGAGUUUGUAACACCCGAAGCCGGUGGAGUAACCUUUAGGAGCUAGCCGUCGAAAAGGA